AUCUAGAUGAGGAAACUUAUCAGAAGACUGAAUCUACCAAUAAAAAAAUUUUUUUUUCCUUUCUCCAGACUACUACCUUGCUUGACCACUGCUGAUGACUGGCCAUUCUCAGCUUCACUUCAAGAAAUCUUGCAAAGCUCUGAGUAUCCACUGAAGAACUUGAAUGAACAACCACUUACUCGUGCUUCACUUUAUUUUGAUAUUGAUCCUUAUGUAGAUAUGUUUACUGUAUAGUUAAUAUUAGAGGCUUAGGCUGGGACCUUUUUUUUUGUCCACAUCCAAGCACGGAUGCUAAAAUGUGUUGGGAGAAGAACUUGGCAGAGUUUUUUUCCUCCUCCUCUUUUAUUGACCAAAUAUUCAUUCCCAUGUUAAUACCUUAGAGUCUGAUCAUUCAAUGCAUUGAUUAUUUACUUUCCACUCCUAUUGAUAGAAGCUGAUUCCACCUUGCUCUCAGAAGUGUAAAUGGAGGUUGGGAGAGUCGGUACUAACUCACAGUGACAGAAGAGUGGUCCUUCUGCUCUGUGAAUGGGAUAGUUCUCAACAUAAUUACACGUUUCACCAUUUAAUUCAAACGGCCUUCCCUCACCCAAAUCAUUUACCGUAGAGGAAGAGAAUGAAAACAAAAAGAUUAUAUGAUCCUUUAUACAUGUCAAUCCAGAAUCUCUUUUCUUCCUCCUCCUCCCCUAGCUGUGCAUGUUUCCCCGCUGCCUUGCAGCGGAGCGUGGGUGGAAUUCAGUGAAGGCACUUAUUCUACUUUUUUU
rnacentral:lncRNA from 1 species